GUAAUAGUAUCACCGUAUACCACCAAUUGCCGACAUGAAGUCACUCCUACUACAUUGCUAUUUAAAAUCCAUCAUGAAAAAACUCUCAAAUUCACUAACGAAACUCUUUUUGAGAAAAGAACUAAUCGAAUAGCUAGUGUUUAAAGGCUGCACAUAUCAAAGAUUACAAACCAGUUCGAACAAACAGGAAAUUGUAUGAGAUCCUACUGAGUUUGGGAAUUCAAUUCUUAGUCAGUUAGUUGAAUACAUCAUUGGUAGCUACUUCAUUCCUAUUCCAGUGACUUACAAGCGUAGAAAUCGAGAGUACUAUCAACCCAACAGGCCCAAAAGCAACAUCUAUAUCAGAGCUAGGGUUCUUGUUCGAAUAGUGCGCACAUACAGGAUGAAACACUGCACAUAAAAAAUAAUGCAUAAACCAUAUCUAAAAAGUCCUAGAAAUCAGAUCCACUAAUUAAACCAACAUAGAUAUAUACAUAUUAAUAUAUAUAGAGAGAGAGAGAGAGAAGAUGGGUUUGUCAACAGGACUUUCCUGGCCGCUCGGUCGUGACAAGAACCCACACGAGGCCUACGCCGCCGCGUAUCUGAUCGAAGCUCCUUACGGGUACGUUGUAAUACCCACCAUUCUUAUUCCUCUUCUUCUGAGUAAUCAAUACCCUUCCCCGCUGCCUUCUUGCGCCGCUAAACGUUCGCCAAUCCAAAUUUCGUCCUCAAGUAUAAGUCAUCUAAUCAUCCGACGGAAACAAACCAUAAAAACCCUAAUUUCAUCAACUGAACUGAUACACAUAAACCCUAAUUUCGCCCUCAAAAUUCGAUUCAUUGAACAACUCCACCAAACCUCUCGAUUCCGCAGAAACCUUGCUCGAAUUUGAACUGAAAACUACCUAUCCUCUGUUAACAGAUAGAGAGAGAGAGAGAGAGAGAGAAUAGCCGAACGCUCCGUCGCUUUCAAAAAAGUGAAACAGCAGAGAGAGAAAGAAGAGCCGAAACCGUAUGCUUCGAU